CAGCCUCCCAAAGUGCUGGGAUUACAAGCAUGAGCCACGGUGCCCGACUUACAUUUAUUUUUUAAGCGUCCCUGCCUUAAUAAAACCCAUUUGAAGACUGUGUGUGUGCGUGUGUGUGUGUGUGUGUGUGUGUGUGUGUGUGUGUUUAUUGCACUAUGUAGUUUGUUUGUUGUUCUUUGUAGUCUCAAUGUACUUCUUACUCCUAAAUAAUAGUUCUUUUGUGUUGGGAAGAUAAGGCCCUCAAGGCACAAGAGACAGAAGCACAAUUCCUGAGUCUGUCCCUUGUGGCCAUCUGCUUGGUGUGGUCUCUUCAAUUGUGUCCUGCUGGAAAGAGUGACCUUUGAGCAUGGCUCCUGAGCUUUCUGAAUGCUGAAGGAGGGAUUAUCCAGAGAUUAACUAGGAUGCUGGCUUUUUGGCCACCUUGUAAAGGCAACAACUGCAAACCACAUUUAAAAGAUAAGAUUAAACCCACAUGCAGAACAUCAAGAACAUGAAUCUUACUCAGGAAGUAAUGCCAAAAAUGUUACAACAAAAAUAUUCUUGGCUAGCAAGCUGUUGUUCUGUUGGACCAAGAGCCCUGGAGGAAGUUCCUGAUCCUUGUAAAGGAAAUGUGAAUAGAGCUUUUCACUUUCCUGAAAAUAGAGUAACUCCUAAAGCCAGGAAGCAUUUUUACUAGGCCAUCUGUCUCCCCAGGUAACAAAUUAACAAAAAUCAGCAUCCUUCAUUACUGAUUCCUUGUCAGUUGUUACUGACCAUGGAGAAGCAGUGCUCUCCUGGACGGCUGUGCGGGACAGAGCAGUGGUGGCCACAAAACAAGAGAAGAAUCCUGAGAAGAUGUUGCUGAUCCCAAAGGCAAUGAAUUCCUAAGGGAGAGACUGGAUGACAACGAUCCUACAAAUUGAAUCUUUGCAAGACCUUCGCUGAGUAUUUCAGGAAGUACAUUAAGAACGAAAACUCCCAUGCCCACCCUGCCUGGUGGUCCAAUUUAAUUUUCACCGUGAUAGGUACUUGAGGUCCUUGUACGACAUCAGGAGUUUGGACUCCAUACCAUCCAAGAGCGGUGCUCUCGAUCAUUUUUAAAGUUGACAAGAAAUAGCAUCUGAUCGUUUGCUAAGCUUUUUCACUGCCUAGUGAAUGGAAUGUCUGCAGCUCUCACCCCUAUAAAACCAGUUCAGCAAAAGGGCACCCAUACCUGGUUCCCAUCGAUGGCGUAAUCAUACUUGGUGGCAUAUACUUUUCCUACU